CCCCGCACCCCGCCCCCGUCCUCCUCUCUCCCCACCCUCUCUCACCCCCCCUGUGUCCCAAACUAUGGCACAAUAGCGCUCAGCUCCUCUGUCUAUUCUGUGUCCAGCAGGAGCCCGCGGUGAUUCAUUGCUCCAAUUAGGGGCUCUGCAGCCCGUGGCUCGGGCUGUCUGAAGGGUCUCCUUUGGGACCCACGAAACCCAUCAGCCGCUGCCGCUGAUCUUUAAGGAAAGGUCAAGCCGGACGCAUUAGAGCCAGGUUUGGGAAAAGCAGAACCUAGGCAAUGCUGACAGACCAGGCUCUCCAGAGACCAGGGCAAGAGGAUCUCAAGUUCAAGGCCAGCCUGGGCUACACAAAUCAUCAGGCCAUCUGGCAGGAUGGUACCUACUAUAAUCCCAGCACCCUGGAGAUGGAUGGGAAGUUCAAGGCCAGCCUGAGCUGCAAAGUGAAACCUUGUCUCAAAAAAUAAAACCUCGGAAGGAGGCAGUUAAGACCAAAAUGCAUUUUAUACAGGCAUGGAAUUCUCAAAGAAUAAAAAUAUUAAAAAUAA